GUAGGUGAACCUGCGGUAGGAUCAUUG
rnacentral:rRNA from 1 species